ensembl:snoRNA
UUGCACAGUGAACACCCAAGUGUGCUUUAUAGUUCCCUUGGCUUUGACCCUGUGCUAGAGCAAUGUCUGUUCUUUUCCUCUGCGUUGAAAGGGCUACUUUAUCCCUUUAAAUGUAUUCAGAAAAGCAGCACAUUA